AUGGAUGUGAUGAUGCUUUCCCCAAAUAAUCAAAGCUGAAAUUAUCGAGCACCAUUCUCAAUUCUCAUUUAUUUGAGAAAUCCAAGCUAGAAAUUUUCUGAUCCAU